AUGAGUAAUAAUCCAAAAACUACCAAGCCUCUACACAACUACCAAGCCUCUACACAACUACCAAGCCUCUACACAACUACCAAGCCUCUACACAACUACCAAGCCUCAACUCAACUACCAAACCUCAACGCAACUACCAAGCCUCAACGCAACUACCAAGCCUCAACGCAACUACCAAGCCUCAACGCAACUACCAAGCCUCAACGCAACUACCAAGCCUCUACACAACUACCAAGCCUGAACACAACUACCAAGCCUCAACGCAACUACCAAGCCUCAACGCAACUACCAAGCCUCUACACAACUACCAAGCCUCAACACAACUACCAAGCCUCAACGCAACUACCAAGCCUCUACACAACUACCAAGCCUCAACGCAACUACCAAGCCUCAACGCAACUACCAAGCCUCAACGCAACUACCAAGCCUCUACACAACUACCAAGCCUCUACACAACUACCAAGCCUCUACACAACUACCAAGCCUCAACACAACUACCAACCCUCUACACAACUACCAAGCCUCUACACAACUACCAACCCUCUACACAACUACCAAGCCUCAACACAACUACCAAGCCUCAACACAACUACCAAGCCUCAACACAAUGGCUGCUAUAAUCUUUCUGAGAGAGCUUGGGCAAAUACACAAAACCAAACAAGUUGGUUAAACAAGGAUUACAUAUUUAGCAACCCCUUCUCUAAGCCCGGAUCACACUUUUCAGCCAUCGCACAGGCUCGUUCAUGUCACAGCAUGAGAACUCCAGAAAGGUGGCACACUGUACGGCGCCAGAUUUCGGUGAGGCAGACUUUACGACGUCGCUCUCCAGCAGGACACGCUACGUCACGAGCACACCUCCUGAAAGCAGACGUCACUAAGCAGACCGCUUACCUACACAACGCUGAAAAUGGCUUUGGAGUCCGACUCCAGCUGUGGGUCUCCUUUCACGUCGUCCAGCUAAACAGCUGAGCUGUCUGCUGGACAUUCAUCCUUCUUUAUACAUAAAAAUCCACUAAACUACAGAGAAGUACCAAUCUGUCACAGUUUGAUCCAACAUCUAAACUUUUGUCUCACAGCUCCGCUCCGUGACAGCUCACACUCGCUGUGAUGGAGCGGAGCUGCAGCACAACCAUACCGAUCCGUCCUUUCCAGUGAAAAUGGGAAAUUUCCUCCAACAGAAAAGGAUCUCAUGUUUAUGUGUUUUAUUUUUUAUGUUCGUGACCUCAUCUUCUCUCAGAUCUCAGAUCACAGAAUCAAGGUUUCCACAAUUCAGCUGAUGGUCUAAAAAUGUAAUUAUUUUAGCAUAACUCCGGUUUUACUUGGGCUAUUAACAAAACGUUGAGCGUAGUUUAUAUUCCGCAUUUUAAACUUUAAUUGAAACCGAAGUUCAGAGAGGCGGAGUCUUGCUGCUGCUGCGUCUUACAUUUCAUUGGUUGGUUGCAGACAGGAGUUGAAGGUUUUCAAACAUGACUGUCGGAGACUGUCGGGUUGUGAGACGGCUCAAAAAGCUGCGCAGAGCCAGUCAGACUGGACGACCACAGAUCACGCUCAUGUUUAGGAGAGGCUUCCACCGGGGACGAUACCCAUGCAUGCCAUUCCUCUGCAGCGUGCGCCACAUGGUGUCACGGGAAACGGUCACUCGUCUGGCUUUCUGCUGCUGUAGCUAGCUGCAGUGAACAUGCAUUGUUAUUUUCUUCGACUGUCUCAUCAGAGGACGCUCCUGUCGAGAUGUAAACGUCCGUGGACGGCCUGGACGUCUCUGUAAGAUGGUUGGACUUCCAUCUUACAUUCCUGGAUCGCUUUGCAGCGGUGUUUUGACUGAUAUGUAAAGCUUUGCUGAUCUUCUUUUUGUGUAAAGAAACGAUUUCCUUUCUCAGAUUUGAUAUUUAUGCAUUUUAUGGUUUUUGGCCUGUUUAGAUCAGUUCUUUUAAACUGUACCUUCAAACGUUAACAUGCAUCUGAUGGGUUUUAAAGGUGCAGCGCUUUGGUUGUGCUGAAAGCACUAAAAUAUAACGGGAUGGUACUUUGUGACGUUUCUCCUCCGUGUGGAGCCGUUGCUGACAGCAGGAAAUGGGAAAGGCUUUUAUAUAAGUGAGGCUCUUUUAUGCCACCUGUGGUUGAAUGCCCGUUCGUCUGAAUUUGGUAGUCUUAAGUGUCUUUUCUCUUAAGAAUAUAACUGGGCUGUACUCACGUCUGCAAAGAGGGCUUGAAUGGAUUUUUUAAGCUGUGUCAGGACUCAGGUAUCUCCCGGCUGACCUUCGGACCACAACUCCCGACAUGCCCCUCGUGGGGAGCUCCCAGCGUGCUCCUCGCGGGGAUUCCCUCCAUGUCACAGCCAAGCAAGGCUAUAUAUGGAAGACGCCGUGACCGGCUUCUCAUCUCAGUCAUCGUUUCUUCCUCACAGAGAUACGACCAGAGAAAUAAUAAAACUGUUAAACGUCUCACCUUGUUCGUCUCCUUCAUCCAGUCUGAUCAGCCUGACAGGAUGACUGAGAUCCGAGUAGAUUCGACGGAGAUCGAUCGUCUCCGCCACGAGAACGUGCAGCUGCGUUCCAUGGUAGAUCAGCUCAACACCAAGGUGAACUCCUUGUCCGACCACACCCUGCGUCUAUCCACGGCUCUCACGGCUCUCCAACAACAGGCAAACGAUCAGCAGCAACAGAUCGCUGCACUCCAGCAGCCAACCCGCUCUGCUCCUAGGGAGGAGCCCCACUUCAGCCUGCCGGAGAGGUGGAACGGGGAGACGGGGAGCCCCGAUGGUCUGCUCGCCACGCUGGACAUGCAGUUCGAGUGCCAACCUGGACGCUACCCAUCUGCGCGCUCCCGAGUGGCGCAUCUCACCUCCCUGCUCUCCGGACGCGCCGCGGAGUGGGCUGCUGCGCUUUACAAUUCCAAAUCCCCUGCCUGCAACGACUAUGCUGCGUUUGUGUCCGCUCUCC
ensembl:lncRNA